rnacentral:rRNA from 1 species
UCAUUACCGAGUGAGGGCCCUCUGGGUCCAACCUCCCACCCGUGUUUAUUUUACCUUGUUGCUUCGGCGGGCCCGCCUUAACUGGCCGCCGGGGGGCUCACGCCCCCGGGCCCGCGCCCGCCGAAGACACCCUCGAACUCUGUCUGAAGAUUGAAGUCUGAGUGAAAAUAUAAAUUAUUUAAAACUUUCAACAACGGAUCUCUUGGUUCCGGCAUCGAUGAAGAACGCAGCGAAAUGCGAUACGUAAUGUGAAUUGCAAAUUCAGUGAAUCAUCGAGUCUUUGAACGCACAUUGCGCCCCCUGGUAUUCCGGGGGGCAUGCCUGUCCGAGCGUCAUUGCUGCCCUCAAGCCCGGCUUGUGUGUUGGGCCCCGUCCUCCGAUUUCCGGGGGACGGGCCCGAAAGGCAGCGGCGGCACCGCGUCCGGUCCUCGAGCGUAUGGGGCUUUGUCACCCGCUCUGUAGGCCCGGCCGGCGCUUGCCGAUCAACCCAAAUUUUUAUCCAGGUUGACCUCGGAUCAGGUAGGGAUACCCGCUGAACUUAAGCAUAUC